AUCUAGUGGCGAACGGGUGAGUAACACGUGGUAACCUGCCCAUCAGAGGGGGGAUAAAAUCCGGAAACCGGAUGCUAAAACCGCAUAGGUCUUCGAGCCGCAUGGCUUGAAGAGGAAAAGAAGGCGCAAGCUUCUGCUGAUGGAUGGACCCCCGGUGCAUUAGCUAGUUGGUGAGGUAACGGCUCACCAAGGCCGUGAUGCAUAGCCGACCUGAGAGGGUGAUCGGCCACAUUGGGACUGAGACACGGCCCAAACUUCUACGGGAGGCAGCAGUAGGGAAUCUUCCGCAAUGGACGCAAGUCUGACGGAGCAACGCCGCGUGAGUGAAGAAGGUUUUCGGAUCGUAAAACUCUGUUGUUAGAGAAGAACAAGUGCUAGAGUAACUGUUAGCGCUGACGUUCUACCAGAA
rnacentral:rRNA from 1 species